CGCGCGUCCACUCGACGCCUGAAGCCGCGCCAGCGCCCUUUGUCCUGUGCCGAGCCGACACCUGCUUUCCCAGUCGAGCUGCCAAGCCGAUCCCUAUUCAUCCAGCCGAGCCGCCAAGCUUUUUGGAGCCACCUAGUUUUUGGUCUUUCCCCACGUGUCUUUGGGUCGGUUGGACCAAUUGGUGUUGGAGCGUGGGAUUUCUCGACUUAAAGGGUGUUAGCGCAACCUUGAUCUUGGGGCCCCGCUGCUUGGAAAGCACAUCUUUUUCUUACUAUUAGGACUCGUCAACCAAAUCUCCAGGUAAGAGAUUUCUACUACUAGCUCUACGACUAGAAUCAUGAGACUGUAUGCAUUCCUAGUUAUGCACUUGAGGACUACAUUGCAUAACGAUAGUAUAAUU